rnacentral:rRNA from 1 species
UACGUAGGGGGCAAGCGUUGUCCGGAUUUAUUGGGCGUAAAGAGCGUGUAGGCGGCCAGAUAGGUCUGUUGUGAAAACUCGAGGCUCAACCUCGAGACGCCGAUGGAAACCAUCUGGCUAGAGUCCGGAAGAGGAGAGUGGAAUUCCUGGUGUAGCGGUGAAAUGCGCAGAUAUCAGGAAGAACACCAAUGGCGAAGGCAGCUCUCUGGGUCGGUACUGACGCUGAGACGCGAAAGCGUGGGGAGCGAACAGG